rnacentral:lncRNA from 1 species
GUGCCCCCGGUGGCCAUUGGGUGCCCACUGGUUGGCCAUGGUGGCUGUUGGGUGCUCCUGGUGGCCCUUGGGUGCCCAUUGGCUUGCCGUUGGGUGCCCUCAGUGGCCAUUGGGUGCCCCUUGGGUCGAUGUUGGGCACCCACGGUGCCUCUUGGGUGCCCCCAGUGGCCGUUGUGUUGCCGUUGGGUGCCCCCAGUGGCCAUUGGGCGCUCGUUGGUUGGCCAAGGUGGCCAUUGGGUGCCCCCAGUGGCCAUUGGGUGCCCAUUGGCUGGCCACGGUGGCUGUUGGGUGCCUGUUGGGUUGCCGUUGGGUGCCCAUGGUGGCCGUUGGAUUGGCGUUGGGUGCCCCCGGUAGCCUUUGGGUGCCCCUUGGGUUGCUGUUGGGUGCCCCUGGUGACCAUCGGGUUGACGUUGGUUGCCCGCGGUGGGCGUUGGGUGCCCCCAGUGGCCAUUGGGUGCUCGUUGGUUGGCCACAGUGGCCCUUGGGUGCCCCUGGUGGUCCUUGGGUUGCUGUUGGGUGCUCCUGGUGGCCACUGGGUGCCCAUUGGGUUGCCGUUAGGUGCCCACAGUGGCUGUUGGGUGCCUGUUGGGUGCCCCUGAUGGUGGUUGGGUGCUCCUCGUGGCCAUUGGGUGCCUGUUGGGUGCCCAUGGUGGCCCUUGGGUUGCCGUUGGGUGCUUCUGGUGGCCGUUGGGUGUCCGUUGGGUGCCCACAGUGGCUGUUGGGUUGCCAUUGGGUGCCCGUUGGGUGCCCUUGGGUUGAUGUUGUGUGCCCGUGAUGGCCAUUGGGUGCCCUUGGGUUGCCGUUGGGUGCCCACAGUGGCUGUUGGGUGCCCGUUGGGUUGCCGUUGGGUGUCCCUGGUGCCCGCUGGGUGCCUGCGGUGGCUGUUGGGUGCCCGUUGGGUUGAUGUCGGGUGCCAUUGGGUGCCCUUGUGUUGCUGUUGGGUGCCCAUGGUGGCCAUUGGGUUGCCGUUGGGUGCUCCUGGUGGCCGUUGGGUGGCUGUUGGGUGCCCACAGUGGCCAUUGGGUGGCCAUUGGGUGCCCGUUGGGUGCCCUUGGUGCCCGUUGGGUGCCCUUUGGGUUGACGUUGUGUGCCCUUGGUGGCCCUUGGGUUGCCUUUGGGUGCUUCUGGUGCCUGCUGGGUGCCCGUGGUGGCUGUUGGGUGCCCUUGGGUCAAUGUUGGGUGCCCGUGGUGGCCCUUGGGUUGCCGCUGGGUGCUUCUGGUGGCCGUUGGGUGCCUGCAAUGGCCAUUGGGUGCCCUUGGGUUGCCGUUGGGUGCCCCCAGUGGCUGUUGGGUUGCCGUCGGGUGCCCUUGGGUCGAUGUUGGGUGCCCGCGAUGGCCAUUGGGUGCCCGUCGGGUUGCCGUCGGGUGCCCGCGGUGCCCGUUGGGUGCUCCUGGUGGCUGUUGGGUGCCCUUGGGUCGAUGUUGGGUGCCCGUUGGGUUGCCGUUGGGUGCCUGUGGUGCCCGUUGGGUGCCCAUGGUGGCCACUGGGUGCCUGUUGGGUUGCCGUUGGGUGCCCGCGGUGCCCAUCAGGUGCUCCUGGU